UGUGGUAGUGAGGGGAUUUUUUAGGUGUAGUUUGACGUCACCUUCUUUUUAUCACGCUUACUAAGCCAAUACGUAAAGCACGCGAUAGCAAAGC
rnacentral:antisense_RNA from 1 species